rnacentral:rRNA from 1 species
UUUGGGAAUGCAGCUCAAAACGGGUGGUAAAUUCCAUCUAAAGCUAAAUAUUGGCGAAAGACCGAUAGCGAACAAGUACCGUGAGGGAAAGAUGAAAAGCACUUUGGAAAGAGAGUUAAACAGUACGUGAAAUUGUUGAAAGGGAAACGCUUGAAGUCAGUCGCGUCUUCCGGGACUCAGCCUCGCCUUUGUGGCCACGGUGUAUUUCCCGGGGUGACGGGCCAGCAUCGAUUUCGAUCGUUGGAGAAAGGCGAUGGGGAACGUGGCACCUUCGGGUGUGUUAUAGCCCCAGGUCGUAUACAACGGUUGGGAUCGAGGAUUGCAGCACGCCUUUAAUGGCCGGGGUUACGCCCACGUAACGUGCUUAGGAUGCUGGCGUAAUGGCUUUAAGCGACCCGUCUUGAAACACGGACCAAGGAGUCUAACAUGCCUGCGAGUGUUUGGGUGGAAAACCCGGACGCGGAAUGAAAGUGAAAAGGUUGGGACCUCUGUCGUGGAGGGCACCGACGCCCGGACCAGACCUUCUGUGACGGUUCCGAGGUAGAGCAUGUAUGUUGGGACCCGAAAGAUGGUGAACUAUGCCUGAGUAGGGUGAAGCCAGAGGAAACUCUGGUGGAGGCUCGUAGCGAUUCUGACGUGCAAAUCGAUCGUCGAACUUGGGUAUAGGGGCGAAAG